GAUGAACGCUGGCGGCGUGCCUAAUACAUGCAAGUAGAACGCUGAAGGAGGGCCUUUCUCUUCUGGAUGAGUUGCGAACGGGUGAGUAACGCGUAGGUAACCUGCCUUUUAGCUUGGGAUAACUAUUGGAAACGAUAGCUAAUACCGCAUGACAGCAGUUAUUGCAUGGUAAGUGUUUAAAAGGUUCAACUGCUCCACUACCAGUUGGACCUGCUUUGUAUUAUCGAGUUGUUGCGGUUACGGCUCACCAAGGCGGCUAUACAUAUCAGGACGGAUAGGGUGGUCGGCCACCCUGGGAGUGAGACACGGCACAGAGUGCUACGGGAAGCAGCAGUAGGGAAUCGUCAGCAAUGAGCGGAAGUCUGACCGAGCAACGCGGAGUGAGUAAAGAAGGAUUUCGGAUGGUAAAGCACUGUUGUAAGAGAAGAACGAGUGUGAGAGUGGAAAGUUCACACUGUGACGGUAUCUUACAAGAAAGGGACGGCUAACUACGUG
rnacentral:rRNA from 1 species